rnacentral:rRNA from 1 species
UGUCCUACGGGGCGCAGCAGUGGGGAAUAUUGCACAAUGGGGGAAACCCUGAUGCAGCGACGCCGCGUGGGCGAGGAAGUACCUCGGUAUGUAAAGCCCUAUCAGCAGGGAAGAAACAGGACAGUACCUGACUAAGAAGCCCCGGCUAACUACGUGCCAGCAGCCGCGGUAAUACGUAGGGGGCAAGCGUUAUCCGGAUUUACUGGGUGUAAAGGGAGCGUAGACGGCUGUGCAAGUCUGAAGUGAAAGCCCAGGGCUCAACCCUGGGACUGCUUUGGAAACUGUGGAGCUAGAGUGCUGGAGAG